ensembl:lncRNA
UUGUGAAGGACUUUAGCCAUAGGAAAAUGCAUGAAUAGAGAGGUUUUUUUACUUAGAACUUCAGAAGCACUCUGCAACAUCACACAGGGGAAGAACCACAGACCUGCGUUUUCGUACAUUAUAUUUGUGUAUUAUACGUUUAUUCACAUCUUUGUCUUUCAUCCACCAUCAUAACCAGCCAUGAGGGCAUCGUUGAUAUUUCUAUUUGUGAUACUGAUGGGUGACCAAAGUCAAUGCCAAAGUGGGGAUUAUGAAAUUGAAUACGAACAUGAACCGGGUCCAGACAUCCUGGGACUGAUCAAACAGACUGCACUGGGCAAGGAAAUCAGUGACAAGAUCUCAGAGAGUGUGGAUGCAAUCAAUCAAUAUGCCCAAGCCGUGGGAAGCAAGGCCCAGUCUAUGUUUGAUAACCUGGGUCGUCAAGCUGAACGUGAAGCCAUGUUUGCCAAACAAGAUAUCCAGAACAACGCCAUUGCUGCUGUCCAGAACGUCCACGGCCGGCUAACGCAGAGUGCUGGGGACAUGCGGCUGAAGACUGAGUCACUCAUCGAGGCGGUUGCACACUCCCUGCAGAUUCAUCUUCACGUGUUUUGGGAGUCACUGACAAAAGGAAAUGAAACACACCCUCUGUUCCAGUGAGAUGCCCAAUGCCAGUGUGAUGGAGGCCCAUGAGUGUGCAUGUCAAUCUUACCUAGAUUAGGUGGGCCAUACCCGCUUAAUACUAUUUAUGAUGUGAAUGAUAAUCUUGCUCUCUCAUUUUUAUCACAACAAAUUCAUCUAGCAGCAGUUUUUCAUUGCUGUUUGUAUUCCUCAAUAACUGAAUGGAGUGUUAAGAGUUGAAUGCUAAGUACACAGAGUGCAAUAAACUCUACUCUCAAACUGUACUCUCAUACUGUUCAUUUAUUAUCUGUUCAUUUAGGCUUCCGCUGAACUACAGAGGCAAAAACAGUAGGCCAGUAUUACUGGGAGGUAGGCCUGCAUCUAGAACAGAGCAUAUCUGUGUGAGAAAAAAACUGUAUCUAUUAACAUGAGACAGCCUGCAGCCAAAGGUACACUGGCAGUUGAGGCGCAGUCUUGCACUCUUUUCUCUCUCUUGCUCAGCAACUUUGAGCCUAAAUUCUUUGUCUUUCAUUCGUUAAUGGUAUUUCUAUUAGGGAGACUAAUGGAUGGUAAGGAACAGUUAUAUAUGUUAAUUUACUUCAGUUUUCUGCCAACAAUUAAUAGUUUACAUUCUGUCAGUCACUGACUGCAAACAUUUGUAAUAUGUUUGGUACAAAUAUAUCCUUGCUUAAUUAGUUCAUACAAAUUGGAAUUGUAUAGAAUUGGCUUUACUGGAGAUUUCAUCUACAUAGGCCUACACAUAAAUGAGCGGUACUCGAGAUCCCAUUGUCUGGCUAGUGAAAAAAUCACAUAAGUGUAUAGCACUGUAGCCUCAAACUUGAGAUUUGAGCCAUAGAAUAAAUGCAUAAAUGCCAAGACAUGCCCUUGGAUAUCCCCUUUCUAUGGAAACGGUCUUUCCAUAGUCAUACAGGUUAUGGUUAACAAAAGCUUUAUCAAAUUAAAUAUGACUUCAUUUAAUUAUUUAACUACAAUACUCGACAAAAGUGAAGAUAAGAUUCAGAAGGGUAGAGUAGAAUGUCUGAGGAUGACUUUAGAAUGUUUUGACCUGCUUCUCACUCGCUCCUCUGACUGCAAGCAAAUCAUGAAAAAAAUUGUGUUAUUCUAACUACCUUUACAUCCAGUCAUUUCAUUCAACAGUGCAAUUCAAAAGACGGCAUUAGAUGAAAAGCCCAAACUGGGAUUUCUUUUCCUCCUGGCCCCAUUUGGCUCUAUUAUCUGUAUUGAUAUAAACCCCAAUGAAAUGAUCACAAAGAUAGUCUGUCUGACACUCUUGACUCGCCCAUCCUGAUAAGAGACUGUGGGGCUUUAACCGGCCAGCACAGCCAAUGGGAUAAAGCCAAGGUUUUCAGUUGUUACUGCAAGGGUCCUCCUGCUAGGCCCUGUUUUCUCUUUUUUAUCACAUGUGUAAACCCAUUUCCUUAAAUGCCCCCUAACUACACACCCACAUCCACCUAUACACAUCCACACACAGACCAUCACAUGUGUUGAGUGCAUGACAGUAGGAAAGCCCCAAACACAGCGCUAUCUCUGUUUAUGCCAGUGGACUUUCUUCGGUGCACUAUGGAGCUUCAUGGCUAAAGAUAUGUUACACAACGCUUCAAGAAAUCAUGCAGUUGCAACUACGACUCCGCUCACACAGGUAAGAUUCAUCCACAGAGCUGUGAGCUUCUCUACUCAGCGUUCCAUUUUGAGCAUGUCACACUUUCUUCUCUCUCCCAAGGAUUGAAGAGUUGCGAUGAAGGUGUCGGCAGCAGUCGUGCUGGUUUUGAUCAGUGCGGCUUGCCAUGGCUAUGAGGAGCAUGUGGCCCUGGAGAACAGCCUAUUAGAAGCCUGGGGACUGGACGAGACUGACCCUUGGGAUUCCCUGAGGGGGUUAGGGGCUGAGGUGCACCGAGCAUUUACACACGCAAUGGGCGGUGAGGUCAGGAACGAGAUCUCUGGGGGCGUUGACACGGCCGUCCGCUUUGGGAUGUCCAUGUUGAACGACGCAAGAGAUACGGGGGAGAGCGUGUGGGAGCAGAUCUCGGAGGAGGCAGAAAAGCUGGACAGUCAGCUGGAGGAGGACAUGAGCCGCCGGUUGGAGGCCAUCGAGAGUCACGCCGAGGCCUACACUCAGGAGGCGCGCAGGAAGAUCGACCAGAAUCUACUGGAGAUCCAGAAGAACCCCAUCCCUGUGGUCCAGACCUUCCAGGGCCAGCUGGCCCAGACGGCGCUGAAUAUCCGCACGAGCGCUGAGUUCUUUAUCGGAGAGUUUGCGUCACUCUGGGAACCUGCUCUACAGCAAGAUUAAGCUCGCUGCUUAGAUUUUUUCCUUACUUUAGAAGCUCAGCCAUACUGUAUUUUUAUGGAGAUCAUGCUAUGGCUUGAUGUCACCUUGUUUGAAUUCCAGACACUUUACUGUUACAAGAGAUUUCCUUUGCGGUAUUCAGAGUCAAGGGCUUCAGCAAGAGUUGUGUGUGAGAAAUGCAAUUGCAGCUGGCUCAGAAGAGCAGCAGAAUCUGGCUCCCUACGCAGAGGAGCUGAAGGGAAAACUGGAUCCCUUAGCUCAGGACCUGAAGACCCAGCUCACCACAUUGUGGGAUUCCUUCACCAAGAACAGCCAGUAAGAACAGUGUCCCAGAUCUGGCCCUUGCCAGCGGAUGUUUAAUUUAUGCUAACCUAAGAGACUCACUGGCUCAAGACGAUCCCUAUCAGACCUCUGCCAACCAGAUGUUACUCUUGAUGAUCACUUCUUUGAGAUUGUUAUACUAGAGAUGACAGUGACAGAGAAGAGGAUGGUAAUAGUUUCAAAAUAUAUUUAAACAAUAUGUGUGCCACAAGAAUUGUCACAGUUUAAGUCAGACAGUUAAGAAUGUACACCUUGGUCGACACUCCUCUACCACGCCCAAUCGCUAUGACGUCUUCAUUUGAAACUAGAAUUUUAGUUGACAUGGAUUCACUGUGACCUUCCCUCAACAUCAGCAUAAAAUUAGGUCCCAUUUAAAAUAUGGAUGUGAAUAUUCUGUAUUUGAUGUCGAAAUGUCGCAUAAUGGCUCCACUCUACUUGUGUUAGCUUCAGGCACUGAAAAUAUUAAGCCUUCCCGGUUGAAUCUUUUUGUUGGAUUUUUUUUUAUUUUUUUUUAUUGUCACAUGGGCUUCAAAUGUUUCAUUUUAAAAGAAUGACAAAAUAAAUGAUUGCAUUUGCAUUGUUGUUUGUAUUUUAAUUCAAUGAGGUUGUGUAUUUUUAAAUCAAAUCAAAUCAAACAUUGAAAGCAUUUCAUACCAGGAGGUAAUACAAAGAGUUUCACAGAAGGAAAUGCCCCCCAUUACAGACAAAGAUUUUCCAGAGAGAUGAAAAAACCAUAUCAUGUAAAUAACUUAUUACAACGCACGCACAUACACAUGUACAGCAGACCCACUUCAGAAUAGAUAAAUAUUACACAGAAUGAAAGGCGAGAUUAAAGACAUACAUGUAUGUCUUAAGUGUACGCUUAAAGGUUUCCACCGUUUC